rnacentral:lncRNA from 1 species
UUUAAUAACAUGUAGAUUGAGACAAACCAUUACAAGUGCCGAUAAUGUUGUCGUUUUCCUUCUUAUAUCUUAAAUUUGCCUUGGAUUUCAGGAAUAUUACGCAACUGAGUUUUUGUCCAUUUGCUCUGUCUCAGUUUAUUAUUAAUCACUGUUGUUCUUCUCCAGGCUUUAUUGAAAGCUCUUACGUAACUGCUGCAAAGGAAAAAGAAAAUUGAAAGAAAAGGUUAGAUGAUGAAGGGAAGAACAACCAACAAUGUUCAGUCGAAUCGGUCCAUGAAGAAUGGUAAAAGAGAUCAAAAGCCACAGAAGACCAACGGUGCUAAAAGAUCUUCAGUGAAAGAAAAACUCAAAGCUUUAGACACUAAGGAAGAAUCUAAUGUCUCACUAGUAGUAAAUGAUAUAGCUUCACAAUCAGAGCUCUUUGAGGUUGACGAGACAGUGGAUGAUACGGCAAAUGGGUCUUUAGAUACUCAACAAGUGUCCGACUCUGGUAGAGUUACAGAGAAAAUAGAGAAGGAAGAAACUGUGAAUGGCCCGGCUUGUGAUAUGGAGAAAGAUGAUGAAGAAGAAGAAGACAAAGACCUUGAUGCUGUAGCUAAUGAAAAGAUGGAUUCUGCAUCUUGCUCUGAAAGUGAGAACGAGGCAUGUGAUGUCACGGAGAGAAGUGAUAACUUAGAGGAUGAAGAAGCACUGAAACAACAGGUUGAGGAUUUGGAGACAAGAAUUGAGAAACUUGAAGAAGAGCUAAGAGAAGUUGCAGCGCUGGAGAUUUCGCUCUAUUCGAUUGUACCAGACCACUCUGGCUCAGCUCACAAGGUUCACACGCCUGCUCGGAGAAUUUCAAGACUCUAUAUCCAUGCUUGUAAACAUUGGAGUCGAGGAAAGCGAACAACCAUCGCUAGAAACACCGUCUCUGGUCUCAUUUUAGUUGCUAAAUCUUGCGGAAAUGAUGUUUCCAGGUAACACAAACACAAUUUAACAGUAUGAGUGUUGUAGCUUUUAGGAUCUUGAUCUUCUCAGCAUUUUCUUGGUUCCAUAUGUUUCAGGUUGACCUUCUGGUUAUCGAACAUUAUCGCUUUAAGAGAGAUUAUUUCUCAUGAGUUUGGUAAGUAUCAUGUUCCAAGUCAUCUCACACAGACCUCUGUAUCAAAUGGUAGUGAACAAAGUGGUUCAGGGAAUCUAAGAAGGAAAAAGAACCAAUGUACUCAAGAAUCAAAUAGUUUCCAAGAUUGGCAGGAAAGCGAAACCUUCACUGCAGUAUUAGAGAAAGUCGAAUUCUGGAUAUUCUCUAGAAUCAUUGAAUCUGUUUGGUGGCAGGUGAAGUAUCAAAUAAAUACUCCUAUCUUAAUAUGAAGAAAGAUCCCUUCUUUCAGCUAUCUCAAAUUUGUUCGUGUUCUCUCCUGUCUUUUCAGGUUUUCACACCUCACAUGCAAUCCCCUGAAAACAGCAGUAAAACGAAUGAGAAACCUGUAUUGGGAGAUGAAGAGCAAGGAAGUUUUUCAAUCAGCCUAUGGCAAAACGCGUUGAGAGUGGCUCUAUCACGGCUCUGUCCUAUGCGAGGAUCAGGGCACGAGUGCGGUUGCUUACCUAUUUUGGCCAAAAUGGUACUCAGAUAAGUGCAAAGGCAGUAGCCUAAAGUAUGUAAAGCUAUUGGAAUCUUAUUUUUUUGUCUAUCUCUUAACAGGUAAUGGAGAAGUGUAUAGCUCGAGUUGAUAUAGCCAUGUUCAACGCUAUAUUGCGUGAGUCAGAGCAUCAGAUUCCCACUGAUCCUGUCUCCGAUCCUAUCCUCGAUUCCAAAGUUCUGCCUAUCCCUGCUGGACACUUAAGCUUUGGAUCCGGUGCACAGCUUAAAAACGCGGUACAACAUCAAGAAACAUGAAUCAGAUUAUUGUUGUUAUAUACACUUCAUAUGAGAAGAUACUAAUGUCCUUGAAUGUUAUAACCUCUCGCUUCUAGAUUGGCAAUUGGUCUAGAUGCCUCGCUGAAAUGUUCGACAUCAACACGAGAGAUUCUGUGGAAGAAACUGAUCUCAUUGAAAGCGAGAAAUCCUUCAGUUUGUUAAAUGAACUUAGCGAUCUACUUAUGCUCCCAAAAGACAUGCUUAUGGACUUAUCCAUUAGAGAAGAGGUUUUGAUUCUUUAUCUCUAUUACUCUUAAGUUCUUGAUUAUGCUCUCUUCAAACUGACUUUUUGUCUUUGAUUGAUUCAUAGGUAUGCCCAUCGAUAAGCCUUCCGUUGAUCACAAGAAUACUCUGCAACUUUACACCUGAUGAGUUCUGUCCUGAUCAUGUCCCUGGAACUGUCCUAGAAGAGCUUAAGACCGAGGUAACGAAUGCAAAUCAUUCUUUUUACUCUUCACUCUUCUUUGCAUUCACUAAACCUUUUGUUAUUUUGAUUCUCACCAGAGCAUUUCGGACCAGAAGUUUUCAGGAGUUAGCUUCCCUUAUGCAGCUUCUCCUGUUUCAUACACUCCUCCGUCAUCAGUCAAUGUAGCAGAGAAAGUUGCAGAGGUAGGAGGAGACAUCUCUAGAAUGUCGAGGAGCGCGUCUGUGAUACAGAGAAAAGGAUACACGAGCGACGAGGAGCUUGAGGAACUGGAUUCUCCUCUUACAUUUGUUAUCGACAAAGUGUUGGUAUCAUCACCAAUCUCGAGAGAAAUUGGGAAGGUGAAGCAGGAAGAUGAGCAAAUAGGUGCAGUGGUUACAAAUGUAAGAUAUGAGCUUCUUAGGGAAGUGUGGUCUAUGUAAAUUGAUUAGAAGCCAAAAUAUUGAGUUUUCUAGUGAAGCUCUAGUUAUACCAAUUCACAACUGAAGCAAACCAAGUCUUUUCAAAGUUAUAUAUGCUCCUAGACCAUUGUAUUUAGCUCGGUAAACAGCUCCGUUAACAACAAUCUCACCCAUAGAUAUACUAAUAAGUGGGAAUUGUGUUUUUGUAGACCAACUUCUUGAUUUUAUGUAUCUGCUUCUCAACUUCUUGACAAAAGGCUGUUAUCUUGGAAUCUGCCUAAUCGGAUCUAUAACUAUAAUGUCAACUAAGCGCACAUCCUGAUCCAUACGUACAUUGUAAAAGAGAUGGAAACCAACUGGAAGAGGAAGACAAGAACAAAAUAUAAUCUUGUUACUCCUCUGACUGAAGAAUUUUGCCACCAGGAUCCAAAAGGAAACACGAGAACAGCUCAGGUUGUACUAGGAUAUUGCAUUAAUAACCGACUCCCAUUUGAAAUUUCAAGCGAAUACUUCAAUUUCCUGAUCAACCAAGUCCUUCCAUUUUUGCGUUCCAAAGAACUUUUCGAAGUUUCCAUCUUUCUACUUCUGAGUUUCGUAAUUUAGCAAAUAACUAUAGAGAAAAAGAAAGGAGGAUAAUAGUAUAAAAAGAAGGAAACACACAAAAAUCCCACAUCGGUAAGUAAAUAAGCGUUACUCAUAGCCUGGCACUAUAAAAAAGAAGCUGAGCCCAAUUUACAAAUCAUACCUUUCUCGGCCUUUUGGCUAAGAUCAAGUGUAGUAUCUGUUCUUAUCAGUUUAAUAUCUGAUAUGUGGGCCAUCGGCUCACACGAUAUUAACUCUAUUUUUUGAGGGAGAAAGCCCACUAAGGUAGCUUGCUACCUGGGCUUUCGCGAGUCGCCCAUGCGUUGCACUAUUGCACGGGCCUGGCACAACCCACCAAAUUAACAGUUUAAUUCUAACUAGUUAAAUUUAGUAAAUUUAUACUAAGUAGAAGUAUGUAACCUUCGUGGGGAGGAAUUAUUUUCAGAAACUUGUGAAGGUGUCAAUGUCGAUAAAGACCGAUUCAAUUUGGUAAAAAUAAGUCGAAGACUUGUAAGAUGCUUCAAAAGAUGGCAUUAGCGGUGGAAGUGAGAACGAAGUGAUGAUGUCAAAGAGAAAAGUGAGGAUGCAGAAGCUCUGAAACUAAAAGACGAAAAAUUGGAGACAGAAUCAAGAAACUUGAAGAAGAGCUAAGAGAAAUGUUGCAGUGCUCGAGAUCUCACUCUAUCCGGUUGUACGAGACUACUCUAGCUCAGCUCACAGGCUUCACACUGCUCGCCGAAUUUCAAGACUCUAAAUCCAUGCUUGUAAACAUUGGAUUCAAGGACAGUGAGUAACAUUAUGAGUGUAGUAGCUUUUAGAAUUUUUACACCGUAUCUGAUUUCAUUUUAGUUGUUAAAUUUUUGCGGAAAUGAUGUUUUCCAGGUAAUAUAAACACGAUUUAACAUUAUGAGUGUAGUAGCUUUUAGGAUCUUGAUCUUCUCAGCUCUUAUGUUUCUUAUGUUUCAGGUUUACCUUAGUUUGUUAAACGAACUUAGCGAUCUAGUUACGCUCCCAAAAUUCAUGCUUAUGAAUUUAUCCAUUAAAGAAGAGGUUCUGUUUUGAUAUCUCCAUCAAGUUCUUGAUUAAGCUCUCUCAAACUGAAGUUUUCUUUGAUUGAUUCAUUGGUAUGCACAUCCAUCAGAGUCUUUCACUGAUCAGAAGAAUACUCUGCAAGUUAACACCUGAUAAUUUCUGUUCUGUUCAUGUCGCUGGAGCUGUCCUACAAGAGCUCAACAGCGAGGUGGCAAAUUUAAAUACCUUUUUUACUUUCUUUUUGAUCUUUGCACUCAGUAUACUUUUUACUUUCCGUUUCUCAACAGAGCAUUGCGGAACAGAAUUUAUUAGGACUAAAUUUCCCUUAUGCAGCAUCACCUGUUUGCAUACUUUCCUCCAUCAUCAAUCGACGUAGCAGAGAAAGUGGCAGAGGUAGGAGAAGAAGUCUCUGGAAUGUCCAGAAAUGCUUCUGUUAUACAAAGAAAAGGAUAUACAACCGACGUGGAGCUUGAGGAACUGGGAUGAUUCUCCUCUUACUUACAUUUGUUAUAGCCAAAGUAUCAGUAUCAUCAAUUUCGAGAUACAAUGGGAAAGUGCAGAGGUUUGAAAUGUAAGAUAUGAACUUUAGAUAAGUGUACUCUGUGUGAAUGAUUAGAAACCAAAAUCUUGAGAUUUUUUAGGGCAGCUCAUGUUAUCAUAUAUAUGAGCUUUUUAGGGAAGUCCCGAAGUUUUUAUAUGUAGCUGUAAGAAUUUGAUCAGAUAAAUAUGCUCCUAGAGAAGAGCAUUUAGCGUUUGAAGAGCCAACCAACUCUUUAACAACAAUCACAACCAUAAGGACACUAAUAAUUUGGAAUUCUCUUUCUUCUGACCCAAUUUCUUGAUUUCAUCUAUCUGUUUCUCAACUAUUUCAACGAUACUCAAAACCUAUUCGGAUCUAUAAUGUUAAUUUAGACCGAUGAAAGCAAACAACUACCGUAUACACAGAAUCUGAGAAUAAAAUCUACUUGACUAUGUACACUGCAUAAGAGAUGGAAACACAUUGGAGGAGAAAGAAAGAACAAAACCAAAAUCUCGGUACUUCUUAGGCGUAGACAAUUCUACCUCAACCUCUCAAAUUUACAGAGAGAAUACUUGGUUCGUGAUGGAAGAGAAUUUAUCGUAUUCUUUGUUUGAAGAAAAAAGAAAUUUGAGUUAGUAAAAUGAGGCUGUAUAAAAGUCCCACAUCGGCAUUCUAAAGAAGGUUGCUCAAAAGCUUGGCUCUAUAAAAAAGAAACCAAGCCUCGCUUACAAAUCAUACCUUUCUCGGCCUUUUGGCUAAGAUCAAGUGUAGUAUCUGUUCUUAUCAGUUUAAUAUAUGAUAUGUGGGCCAUCGGCUCACACGAUAUUAACUCUAUUUUUUAAGGGAGAAAGCCCAUUAAGGUAGCUUGCUAUCUAGGCUUUCACGAGUCGCCCAUGCGUUGCACUAUUGCACGGGCCCGGCUCAACCCACCAAAUUAGCAGUUCACAAUUUUUUACUUCUUAAUUUAUUUAAGGUAAGCACUAACUAUGCACUUUUUAACAUAGAGAAAAUGUGAAAAAAUCGGAUGGGUUGAUAUCAUCAUAGUUGGUUAAAUAUCAUCUAAAUCGUAGUAAAGUUACGUUUAUAUGGAGCUAAACUGUUUGAUGGAAAAGUUGCAGAUUUCUCAAUCAGCCUCAGCUCUUUCGCCACUUGCAGAUUUCUCAAUCAGCCUGAGCUCUUUCGCCACUUGAAUCAUGCUAAUCAACGGGUCUCCUAAGUUGUAUCCGAUGCAUCUCAGCGCUAAUCUAAGAAAGCAUUUAACCGGGGAAGCAGCUAGAUUGCUCACAUCUCUACUUAUAUCUGAAUCUAUAACUUCUGCAUACCCAAACUUCCUCAAUAUCUUCGAAACGUGAUGGUGAAGCGGGAACAGCGCAUCGUCAUCAGGUUUGAUGAACAAAUCAGCUAAUGCUCUAAGCAUAUCCGAAGAUAAAGAUAGCUCAUCAUCAACUUCCUUUAUCUGCAAAAGAGCUAGCAAGAACGUUCCAAAGCUGUACAUAUCGGUCUUUAUUGUGACCUUACCGGUUGACUUGUAUUCAGGAUCAAUGACCGGUAAGUAACACACACCAAGUCCAUGUGUUUCCUUUAAGGUAUUGCGCCUAAACUCAUGGUACUUCUGUAAUGUAUCAUCAUGAACAUAAGUCUCUCCUUCGGGAAUGGAGAUACAGUUACAAAAAUUCCCGAGCUUUGCGAUCCCAUUCUCAUCUAAGAAAUGGUGAAAGGAUCUAGAUUCGAGUGAAUGAAAGCCCUUGAAAAUGCAGUGUGAAGGUAAGUCAAAGCGUUUGCGACCUCUCUUGCUAUCUUUAUCCUCCUCAUGUGUUUUGGAUCAGACGCAACUAAUGGACCAAGAGUUAUAAUCUCAGCAUACUCAAAGACUAAGACAGGAGGAGAGAACUCAAGACAGCAUCCCAAUAGCUUGAGGAAGUUGUUAUUACCGGAAACCAUUGAUGAGAUUGCUAUGUCUUGACAAAUCUCUUUCACAUCAAGCGCGUAUUUCCCUUUCUUGAUGAGUACUGGACGGUCAUCGAGCAUGCCUUUAUAGCAACGGUAAUAAACAUCAAUCCGGGAAGCACGGUUACUUUGGCAGAAGUUAUUUGUUGCUUUGAUGAUCUGAUCGGAAGAGAAGUUUCUGAUAGGAUUGCAUUUUCCAUCACAACAUUCAACGAGCUCCUUCAGAACAACCUCACCAUUCUCUUUGACAUUCUUUUGCCUUGUCUUGGCUCCAAUUCGUUUUGAUCUCCACAAAUCCAUCUUAUAGAACUCUUCAAAGUUGUAUCCUUUAGAGCAAAAGAAGACAAAAGCUAAUCUGUGUGAAUGCUUUCCCCUAGAAACUCCAUCAAUCCACACUCAACAGCUGGAAAAUACAGAGAGAAUAGUAGAUUGGGUUUCAGAUGUCCCCCAAAACCACCCUCCAGAUCUCUAGUGUCUACACAACAAGACAAGAAUUGGAAUAUUCAUUACACACAACAUCUCUUAAUGGAGCUACUAAGAAAUAUUCAAUAGUAGUUGAUGAGUUUUAUUGCAAUUAAUGUAGAAGUAAUGAACACCUAAGCUGAAAUGGAGACAAGAAUUGGAAUCCGAUCCAUAAUAAUGUCUACGAAAUUGGAAAGAAUCAAGAUCGUACCUCAGAAGCGAAAGCAUCAUCAAUUAUGUAGAACACGAGAACGAAGGCAUAUCAAGAUUAAAUAUUAGAUAUAAUGUAUCCCCGGGGGAAAAAAGUGGUAUUGGUCCAAUAAUGUAGUCGGCCGAAGAAAAGAGUUGACUUUCAAGAGCAUCCACACAUUAGAGGGAAUGUGUUCAGUGUUCACACUUUGUUUAUUUCACUUUGGAGGCAAAGUUACCAUCUUUAGUUUGCCCAGACAACAACAUUAUCCGUAAAUGGAAUCUAGAAGAAACAAAUAUGAAAAUCUGGUUCUUGAUAUAUAACAAAAAACUUUCGAGACAUCACUAUAUUCUCAAAGGUUAACAACGUUCAAGAAUAAAGAAACUAAUGAAUGAGGACUAGUUAAGAGAGUUUCUCAAUAAAUUUGAGCUCUUUAGCAACUUCAAUCAUACUACUCACUGUAUCUACUUUCUUGUAUCUUACACAUCUCAAAGCUAAUCUAAGAAAAGCUUCAACCUGUGACCGUCUCGAAACCAAAUCAUCACCAGCCGAAACGUUCCAUAUCUCUUUAUCAACAAUCUCUUCAAACCCACCUUUCUCCAUAAUCUCAGACACAUGAUCGUUAAGCGACAUUGGAGUCUCGUCUGGUCCAUUAAACACAGCAGCUCUUCCGGACAACAAAACCAACAUCACAACUCCAAAGCUAUAAAUAUCAACUUUCUCUGUAACUUUCAUUGUCCAGUAAUAAUCUGGAUCAACAAACCCAAUAACCCCUUUCACAUCGUCUUCUACAUACAAUUCCCCUUCUGGUAUUGCAACACAGAACCAGAAAUCAGAAAGCUUCGCCGUCCAAUUCUCGUCGAUGAAAAUGUUCGUCGGGUUUAUGUUCCGGUGGAUUAUAGCCUCCGGAAACGCCGUGUGGAGAUAAGUCACAGAACUCGCAAUCUCUUUGGCAAUCUUCAAUCUCACUUUCCAUGGCAAAACCUCUCCGCUUGAGAUUCCUCCGUCUCUGUUGAGCGGACCGUGUUCUGUGUACUCACAUACUAAAGCCGGAAGAUCAAACUCCAAGCAACAACCUAGGAGCUUAAGAGCAUUCUUGUGUCCACUCAUCUGAGAUGACACGGAGAUAUCGCGAUACGCUUCUGUGAAGCUUGAAAGGUUUUGGCUUGACCAUUUCUUGAUUGAGACGGGUCUGUCUUCGAUUACGCCUCUGUACCAGAUGAAAUAUCCCCAGCUUGAGAUGACUCGGCUCUCGGAGAAAUUGUCGGUCGCUUUAAGGAUCUGAUCGGAGGAGAAGCAACGAAUCGGAUUGGUUUUGCCGUCGAAGGAUACGAUUAGCUCCUCCAAUAGAAUCCCUCCAUUUGUCAAAUCCGAUCUGUUCUUCUUCUUGUUUUUGCUCAUUAGAUAAUCUUACAAGAGAAACAAAUUUUAAACUAAUUAAUCUCAAAGAGAAAGUUCAUGUUUUUGUUUUUCAAAGGAGCAACUUUGAGGACCUGUUCUUCUUCUUGACAAGUUUACUCAAAAUUCCGCCGAUAGGAUUUUUUCAGUUUGACCCAUAUAUUUUCAGAUUUUACAAAUUGAUCCAAUAAAUUAUAAUAUCUUGGUGGCUCCAUUAUACAUACAACAAAAUCAAGACACCUCCUCGCCUAGAGGUACUACAUUCUUUACGUGUUCAAACACCAGAACUCUUUAUUAUUACAAAUUCACCCAGUAAAGUUUACAACAUCUCUUCUAGUUCUAUGUCCAUCUCUCAAUCCUUUUUAGUUCCUUGGCCACUUCCAUCAUCUUUGGAACAUCACCUCUGUUACCAGUGCAUCUGAGUGAGAGCAUAAUGACUGCUUCCAUUCGCUGUCUCUCGCGUUCUUGAUUUUCAUCACCAUCCAUACUUUCGAACAUAUUUGGAUCCAAGAUCUCAAAGAUUCUUCCCUCUUCCACAAAUUUGGAUACCCUAUCUGAAAUCCUCAGAUUCAUCACAUUUUGUUCGGAUACAAACUUCUCAGGCAUACGUUCAUCAUCACUGCAACAAUCAACCACUCUAUGCUUUGUGGUCAAAAGAUUUUGCAACAACACUCCAAAGCUGAAAACAUCGGUAUUCUCAGUGACUACACCAGUCGUCACAUACUUAUACUCGAGGUAAUCUAAUACUCCUUCUACUCUGUCAGCAUCAACCUUAACAAAUGUCUCUCCUUCUGGAAUCGAGACACAGAGACAAAACCCACUUAGCUUUACUGUUCCAUUUGAAUCCAAGAAAAUGUUAGAAGGUUGUAUAUCCAUAUGGAUCAUAGUUCUUGAAAACGCGGUGUGAAGGUAAGAAACAGCAAUCGCAAUCUCUUUCGCUAUCUUAAUUCGCAUUCCUAAUCCCAGGUUUGGAGUAUUGGAAGGUAUACGUUCUGCAUAUUCACAAACUAAGACCGGAUAUUCAAACUCGAGACAACAUCCUAACAGUUUGAGGAAAUUCUUGUGACCACUGACCAUUGAUGAGACCGCUAUGUCUCGACAGAUCUUUGCUAAUGUAUCAGAUGUGUACAGCUUCCAUAUGGGUCUUUUGAUUAGGACAGGACGGUUUUCGAGGAUACCUCUGUACAUGAGCUCGAACCGAAUCAGGUGGUUGCUCUCGCUGAAGUUAUUGGUGGCUUCGAGGAUUUGGUUAGCAGAGAAGGUUUUGAUUGGAUUGGAUUUGCCGUUGCAAAGCUCUAUGAGAUCUUCUAAGAGGACCUUCCCGUUCUCUUUGAACAAUUUCAGCCGUUGAUUUGUUUCUGAGUUCUUCUUAUGUUUCGUCUUGUUCCUCCAAAAAUCCAAUCUUCUGAUCAACAUGGGCAUGGACGGAUCAGUAAAAGAAACUCCAAAACUUGAGGCAAGAUGAUUUCUUUCGGAGAAAAGAUGAAGAUGGGUCAUAGGGAAAGUUUUGUCCAAUACAUUUGAGUCAAAAAUAAAUAAAUAAAAGUAUAUUUAUAUAUAGUUCGUACUGUAUGUUAAUCAACAUACUUUGAGAUCCACUCGUUUACAUACUGAAAUUGCGAUCUGAGCAAUCAUUUUCGGCGAUGGAAUUCUGGAGAAGGAAGAAGGAGAAGCGCAAGGCGAGAGAGUGUUUUCUCGAAAACGGAAGCACGUUUCUUGAGGAUCUCAUCGCCGACUGUAACGGCAUAUCAAACCCUAUCCGAAUGUUCUCUUCCGAUCAAAUCUCCAAGGCCACGAAUCACUCCGAUCCCCAGUGGUUGGGUUCUUUCUCUGAGUACUUCAUCGGCGUAAUCGAAGGCAGAUCAUACGCGAUCAAGAAACUUAUAUACUAUAGAGAUAAGUGGGAACCAGAGAGUUACAAGGAUAUAGUCAUAUCUGCUCGGGUAAGCAAUCACAGUGGUUUCCUCAAACUCAAAGGAUGCUGUCUCGAAUUUCCUUAUCCGGUCGUGGUGUUUGAGAAGCCAGAGUAUGGAGUUUUGAACCAUGGAGGAAGUGUUGGUGGCGAGGACGAGCCGUUGUUGCCUUGGAAUGUUCGAUUGAAGAUUGCCAAGGAGGUUGCGAUCGCUAUUACUUAUCUUCACACGGCUUUUCCCAGGAUCAUUAUACACAGAAAUAUCAAUCCAAAGAGUGUUGUGUUGGAUAAGAAUUGGACGGCUAAGCUGACUAAUUUCUCGAUUUCCGUAAUACUCCCAGAAGGGAAGACGUGGGUCGUAGAUAGGGUGACAGGAACUCUCGGAUACUUAGAUCCGGUUUAUUACCAUUCGGGAAUUGUGACAGAAUACACAGAUGUGUACAGCUUUGGAAUCCUUAUGUUGGUUCUUCUUACGGGAAUACCAGCAUUGGGUCCUGAAGGUAGCAUUCUUCGUUAUAUAAAGGAUUUGCAGGAGAGAGGAGAAACUAUUGAAUUCGGGGGUGAUUCCAACGACAUGAGGCUUGCUGGUCAGAUGAAAAUGUUUCUUGAGCUAGCAUUGAGAUGCUGCGAGGAAAGGAUUGAAGACAGGCCAAAGAUGAUCUUGGUGGCAAAAGAGCUUAAGCGAAUUGAAAAAUUACUCGAUUGUUAAACCCUCCUGAGAUGCUGCAAAUUUGGAUCUGAGGAUGGUCAGGUUUAAGAUUUGAGAUCAUGCUCAUACUAGUGUUCUGUAUUGUGUAUUGCUUGAUUUCUUCCUUUAAUAAAUAUAUCUGUUAACUUUCAUUUUGAUUCAGGAAUGAGUUUAGAAGGUAAAUAAAUCCAUCUUCAGGUUCAGAAAGCAGGCAGAAUAUGAAAGAUGGUUCUGGUUUUCAGAAAAGCUCAGUGUUGUACUAUGGAGUAGUUCUUAGCUUUCGAUUUAGAUCCCAAAGCAGGAGCCAUAGUUUCGAGAACUAGCUUAAAAUUAUUCUCAUUGGAAUUGUUUAUCUCGAUUAGGAUACAACGCUGAAACCUCAUGAAAGUUUUUGUGUUGAUCAUUGAGUGAGUUUCAAACUCGUUGACUUGAAAAAAGUUGACUUUCUGAAACUUCAAUGGCGUCAGAUUCAGCAUUAUUAUACUGUUAUAUAUUCACCAGGAGCCAACUUUGAAUGCCAAUUAACAUUUUGAGACUGCAAAGGCAUUUCUUUUCUUCAUUGACCCGAAGAAGAUCAUGAGGUUCUGGAGAAAUAAGGGCAAACAGAGGAGGCAACAGUGGUUCUUGGACAACGGAAGCACUUUUCUCAAAGAGCUCAUAGCUGGAUGCAACGGUAAGACAAAUCCUAUCCGAAGCUUUUCUUCUGAUCAGAUCCUCAAGGCCACAAAUGGCUUUGAUCCAAGCCGCUAUGUCACGAGUGACCUUUACUACACCUGGUACACGGGUAACAUCGAAGGUAGAUCUUACAUGAUCACGAUGUUUCCCGAGGAGAAAGUCAAAGGAGAUGGAGAUGGAAUUGGAGCCGUUUACAACGACAUUGUCAUAUCUGCUCGUGUUACCAGUCACAGCAAUUUCCUGAAGCUGUUGGGAUGCUGUCUCGAGUUCCCUUUCCCGGUUCUGGUGUUUGAACAUGCAGAAAACAGAACUCUAAGUCACCAAGGAGGUAUCGGUUCCAAGUAUACAGAGUUCUUGCCUUGGGAUGUAAGACUAAAGGUAGCAAAGGAGAUCGCCAACGCGGUUACUUAUCUUCACACGGAGUUCCCUAAGAUCAUUGUACACAGAAAUAUAACUCCCAUGAAUGUUUUAUUGGACGAGAACUGGACGGCUAAGCUGUCUGAUUUCAGGUGGACAAGUUUGUUGAGCUAACGUUGAUCAGAUGCUGCGAGAAGAGUGUGGAGAAGAGACCGAAGAUGAUCGAUGUCGCCAACGAGCUCAAACGGAUUGAGAGAUCACUAAGUUGAUGUACAUUUACUGGUCCGAAAGUAAAUAAGACUAGUACAUAGAUCCGUUUUUUAUUUCUUGCUAUAUUCAUAAACUCACAUUACGGUUUACACCGGUUUCUUACCUCCGAUUUUUUACGGUUUAAUACACUCUCCGUAGUGACUUGUUGAAAUGUGAUCAAAUUCGAUUUUGAUGUUUGGGGAUUUGUGCAGAGAAGAAGAUGAAGGCGUCGAUGAAGUUUCGGGAGGGCUAAGGUUCUUCUGAGUAUCUGAGGUUUACCGUUUCAAUCGGGAAUCGUCGCCGGAGAAUCCAAGGAGCUCAGCCUCGAUCUAUCUACUUUCUUCGAAUCUGGGCCUUCUCUGAUAAUGGAAUCGAUGAAGAAGAUGUUUCUGAAAUCAGGCUCUGGGAAAAUGAAGGAAAAUGACAUGAAGAAGAGGUGGUUUUUGAACAACGGAAGCAAAUUCGUAAAAGAACUUAUCGCUGAUUGUAACGGUAAAUCAAUUCCUAUACGCAGUUUUUCAAAUUCCCAGAUCAUUCAAGCCACCAAUAACUUCGACUCAAGUUGUUUCGUCGCGGAAGAUGCGUACUAUAAGUGGUACACAGGUAAAAUCGAAAACAGAUCCUACAUGAUCAAGAGAUUCUCCGAGGAUGAAAUUACAGGACACAGAAUUGAAGAGGUUUACAAUGAUAUAGUCUUGUCUGCUCGCAUGAGCAAUCACAACAACUUUCUAAAACUAUUAGGAUGUUGCCUCGAGUUUCCUUUUCCAGUUAUAGUGUUUGAAUACGCAGAACAUGGAGUUAUGAAUCAACGAGGAGGUAUUAUUGUCAACGGGGAGGAAUCUGUGUUGCCAUGGAGUUUACGAUUAAAGAUUGGAAAGGAGAUUGCUAAUGCUGUGACUUAUCUUCACAUGGCCUUCUCUAAGAUCAUCAUACAUAGAGAUGUUAAGCCAAUGCACGUUUUCUUGAGCAAGAACUGGACUGCAAAGUUGUCUGAUUUAUCUUUCUCAAUAUCUCUCCCUGAAGACAAAUUAAGUAUAGAAGCUGAAAGAAUCCUGGGAACAUUUGGGUAUCUCGAUCCCUUAUAUCAUGCCACUAGUUAUGUGACGGAAUAUACCGAUGUUUACAGCUUUGGAAUCUGUUUGUUGGUUUUUCUCACUGGCAAACCGGCUGUGUUCACGGGAUCUGAUGGAGAUCCCCAAGGUCUUCUUAGCUAUGUGAGAGGGCUAUGUGAGGAUGGGAAGCUCGAUGAAGUAAUAGAUCCAAUGAUGGCAAAAGACAUCACAAGUGGUCAAAGAUUGCAGUCGGAGGCGUGUGUUGUACUUGCGUUGAGAUGCUGCGAGGAGAGAGAUGAAGACAGACCAAAGAUGAUCCAAGUAGCUAAACAACUCAGGCGGAUUCAUACGUCAUUUUUGAGAUCUUAACUAGGCAUCCUCUGUUCUGAGACAAACUCUACCCAACUAUUAUUGCAUUUGAAUUCUUGCCAGUUUGAUGUUUUUGUAGCCUCAAGAAAGAAUUUCGUGACAUGUCUUUGUGAGAUCGGAGCAGUUAAUCACAGAAUAUAUGAUGAAGAUAGGAGCAUCUAUGGUGUCCAAAAGAAGAGAUUUUUUAGUUGCUUGACUUAUCAAGUAAUACUUAUCUUCGAUUAUACCUUUGUACCAUAUUGUUCGAUUAUAGAGAUAAAGUAUAAAAUCCUUGCAUUAUGAAGAAUGGAUCCUCAGAUGUUUAGAUACAACAUAUAUCGUGAAAGAAAGCUCGAAACAAGAAUAUCAUAACAACUUUCACUACUAAGAAGACUGCAUAAUGGAUAGAUAGUUAGAUCCGUUUUGAAUCUCACUAGAAGAGUUCAUAUAUGUUUUUAGUUCUUUUGCAACCUCUAUGAUGUGAGAGCACAUUUUCUCCUGGUCUGAAACUUAAUACAUUUUAAAGCAAGUUCAGUGAAUGCUUCCAUUUGCUGUCUUAACUGAUCAGGAAUGUUGUCACUUGUGCCGUUCAACAUUGACGGGUCUAUCAGUUCAGUGAACGGACCUCGCUCAAGAAUCUUCUGCACAUAAUCAAGCAAAAGAACAGAGUAACCAUCAACCAAAGGUGCUCGAGACUUUCCUGUCAAAAGAAUCAGCAUGAUGAUCCCAAGGCUAUAUAUGUCGACAUUCUCAGUGACCAAACCUGUUCUAAGGUAAUUGGGUUCGAUAUAGCUGGUUGUCCCACAAACGAUGUCAUAUACGCCUGAUUCUCCCUCUGGAAUCGAUAUGCUGAGGCUGAAACAAGACAAUUUGGCGGUCCAAUUCUCGUCCAAGAAAACGUUUCCAAGUUUUAAAUCCCUAUGAAUUAUAGUUUUCGGAAAUUCAGUAUGGAGAUACGUUACAGCAUCUGCAAUCUCCUUAGCUAUCUUCAAUCUUACAUUCCAAGGCAAUGGCUUAGCGCUUUCCCUUGCAUGUCCUGUAAAGGUAAGAGCUCCAUUUUCCGGGUACUCAUACACGAGAACCGGAGUAGAAAACUCUAGACAACAUCCCAAGAGCUUGAGGACGUUCUUGUUGCCGCUCAUCAAAGAUGAGACGGCGAUAUCACGGAAAAAAUUGUCAGGGCCGUACUGCUUCUCUUUAUAUGCUUUGAUUAGCACGCGUCUAUUAUCAAUCAUACCUUUGUACCACACGAAUCUAUCUACAGAGCUCAUGUAGUUCCAGUCAAAGUUGUUUGUAGCUGUAACGAUUUGGUGGGAAGAAAACAUGCGGAUUGGAUUGUAUUUACCUCCUGUAGAUGCAAUGAGUUCCUCCAACAGUGAGCUCCCAUUUUCUUGGCUUAGAAUUUCCUCUUCUUUCUUCUUCUUCUUCCUCAACAAGUUCAAACACGGCAUCUCUUCACACCCAGAAAAUGAUGUUAAACAUCUUCCUGCAAACAAAGAUACGCAAGAAAGAAGGAGAUGGACGCAAACACAAGUCAAGUCAACGAAGCCAAAGAGCCAAAACAGGUAUGGGUAGAGGCCUUGGUCUACGAUAUGGGUCUAUAAAUGGGCCUUGAAGAUAGGCCAUGAAGUAUUAAUGGACUCAACAAGGAAGAAGGAAGUCUGGCCCGUGGCGUUGCAAAGCUCUAUGAGAUGAGGAGCUUCCCGUUCUCUUGGAACAAUCUCAGCCGUUGAUUUGUUUCUGAGUUCUUCUUCGUCGUCGUCGUCUUGUUCCUCCAACAAUCCAGUCUUCUACUAAUCAACAUGAGCAUGGAUUAAUUAAUUAGUAUAAGCAAACUUGAGCCAAGAUGAUUUCUUUCGGAGAAAAGAUGAUGAUGGUUCAAAGGGAAAAUUUUGUCCAAUACAUAUGGUCAAGGAAAUAUAAAUAAAUAGGGAAUAAAAAUGUUGAUUAAUUCAACACAACUGAUGAUUAAUGGUCAAGGAAAUAUGAUGAUUCGUAUUAGAUGUUGAUUAAUUCAACAUAACUCAGAGAUGGACUCGGUUGCAUGUUUGAUAAAGAAUCUUCGUUUUUUACAUAAAAAAAAAUGAAAUUGUAAGAAUCGUCUUCUUUCUCAACGUCAACGGUAGAAAUUAGCGAUCGAAGCAACAUUCGGCGAUGGAAUUCUGGAGAAGGAAGAAGGAGAAGCGCAAGGCCAGAGAAUGUUUCCUCAAAAAUGGAAGCAUAUUUCUUCAGAAACUCAUCGCCGACUGUAACGGCAUAUCAAACCCUAUCCGAAUGUUCUCUUCCGAUCAAAUCAAGUCCACAGAUUAUUUCCAUGACAUCAAUCCCAAUUUCUUCCCCGGCGUAAUCGAAGGCAGAUCAUACGCGAUCAAGCAACUUAUACACUACAAAGAUAAGUGGGAACCAGAGGGUUACAACGAUAUAGUCAUAUCUGCUCGGGUAAGCAAUCAUAGUGGUUUCCUCAAACUCACAGGAUGCUGUCUCGAAUUUCCUUAUCCAGUCAUGGUGUUUGAGAAGCCAGAAAACGGAGAAUUGAACGAGCGAGGAAGUUUUGGUUACAAAGACGCACCUUUGUUGCCUUGGAAUGUUCGAUUGAAAAUUGCCAAGGAAGUUGCGAUCGCUAUCAGUUAUCUUCACACGGCUUUUCCUAGGAUCAUUGUACACAGACAUAUCAAUCCAACAAGUGUUAUGUUGGAUAAGAAUUGGACGGCUAAGCUGACUGAUUUCUCUCGUUCUAUUACUCUCCCUAAAGGUAAGACUUGGAUCCAAGAUUUGGGAGAUUUGGGAGCUCCGGGAUAUUUGGGAUACGGAGAUCCGCUUUAUUUCUUGACGAAGAUAGUGACAGAAUACACAGAUGUGUACAGCUUUGGAAUCUUUAUGUUGGUUCUUCUUACGGGAAUACCUGCAUUUUUGCAUUUAAUACAUGGCGGGUUGGGUUCUACAGGUAGGAUUCUUGAUUAUGUCAAGGAUCUGCAGAAGAGAGGAGAAACUGUUGAAUUCGGAGGUGAGUCCAAUGACAUGAGGCCUGGUCAGAUGAAAAUGUUUCUUGACCUAGCACUGAGAUGCUGCGAGUAUAGGGAUGAAGACAGGCCAAAGAUGAUCUUGGUGGCAAAAGAGCUCAAGCGAAUUGAAAAAUCACUCGAUUGUUAAACCCUCCUGAGAUGCUGCAAAUUUGGAUCUGAGGAUGGUUGAAUUUUAAGAUUUGAGAUCAUGCUCAUACUAGUGUUGUGUAAUGUGUAUUGCUGGAUUUCUUACCUUUAAUAAAUAUAUCUGUUUUCCGAGUAAAACUUUCAUCUUGAUUAAGGAAUGAGUUUAAACAGUAAAUAAAUCUUCUUCAGGUUCAGAGAAGCAGGCAGAAAAUGAAAGAUGGUUCUGGUUUUCAGAAAAGCUCAGUGUUGUACUAUGGAGUAGUUCUUAGCUUUCGAUUUAGAUCCGGAAGCAGGAGCCAUAGUUUCGAGAACUAACUUAGAAGUAUUCUCAUUGGAAUUGUUUAUCAGGAAUAUUAGGCUACAAAGCUGAAACCUCAUGAAAGUUUUUGUGUUGAUCAUUGAGUUUGAGUGAGUUUCAAACUCGUUGACUUAAAAAAAAAAGUUAAGACUUUCUGAAACUUCAAUGGCGUCAGAUUCAACAUGAGUAGGUCAAAGAUGUACUCCUAUAAAAUAAGCAAAAAUUCCCUGAAACUAAUGUCUGUGGUAGCUCAAAUAUUUUUUUUUGUCGCAUAUUGCAUUUGACGAUGAGACCCUGGAGAAGGAAGAAUGUGAAGGAGAAGCAGCGGAGCGAAUGGUUCAUCAACAAUGGAAGCAGUUUCCUCCAGGAACUCAUCGCCGAUUCCAACGGUAUUUCAAACCCGAUCCGGUUUUUCUCUUCCGAUCAAAUCCUCAAUGCCACGGAUCGAUUCGAUCCCAACUGUUACAUCUCUCGUCAUAGAUUCUUUACCUGGUACAAGGGCGUCAUCGAAAACCGACCUUACGCGAUCAAGAAAUUCACGGAGUCAGGGUUUACAGGAGAGAGUGUGCGAGAGGUUUACAACGACAUGGUCUUAUCUGCUCGGGUAAGCAAUCAAACUAGUUUUCUCAAACUUGUGGGAUGUUCCCUCGAAUUUUCCCUUCCGAUUAUGGUCUUCGAAUACCCAGAGAAUGGAGCUUUGAACGAGCGAGGAGGUUUUGGUUGCGAGGACGGUACGUUAUUGCCGUGGAAUCUUCGAUUGAAGAUAGCCAAGGAGGUUGCGAUUGCUGUGACUUAUCUUCACACGGCCUUCCCUAGGAUUAUUAUACACAGAGAUAUCAAGCCGAUGAAUGUUUUCUUGGAUAAGAAUUUGACGGCUAAGCUGACUGAUUUCACGUUUUCAGUAUCACUCCCUGAGGGGAAGUCGUGGAUCAAAGAUAAUGUGAUGGGAACUUUCGGAUACAUAGAUCCGGUUUACUUCUCCAGGGGUUUAGUGUCGGAAUACACAGAUGUCUUCAGCUUUGGAAUCUUUAUGUUGGUUCUUCUUACGGGAAGACCAGCAGUUUUCGCUGCAUCAAGUGGUGUUCAUUGUAAUAUUCUUGACUAUGUCAAGGAUCUACGGGAGAGAGGAGAAACUGUUGAAUUUGCGGGUGAUCCGAACCACAUGAGGCUUGGUCAGAUGAAUAUGUUGCUUGACCUGGCACUGAGAUGCUGCGAGAAGAGGGAUGAAAACAGGCCAAAGAUGAUUUUGGUCGCAAAAGAGAUUAAGCUGAUAGAAAGAUCACUCAAUUGUUAAAGUGGCUUGAAAAUGAGUCGAGGAUGGUCAAAUUUAAGAUUGAUAUCAUGCUCAAAUUUAAGUAAAAACUUCGUUUUGAUUAGGAGGGAGUCGAGAGGGUAUACAAAUCUGUCUUUAGGUUUUCAAAUACAUCCUCUGUGUCCAACUAAGGAUAAGGAGUAGUUCUUCUUAGCAUCGAGGCAUAGUUUUGGAGAAUUUGCUUUUAAGUGUUUUUUGUUUUUUUUUUUUUACUUGCAAAUUCUGUGACUUGCAAAGAGAUUAUAGCUAGAGAUCCUCUCUAUUCUUGUAACAAGAAGAGCUUACUCUGUUUCUUACAUAACAGCAGAUUCAACCUCAGGGUUAAUAAUACUUUACUGUGUUCUACCUAUUGUACUUAAGUGGGGUUAAUGUAUGAACUUUGUAAUGUUUAUUUCAUGCCAAUUUGGCCGAGCUUAUUCUGUCAGGUUUUAAGGUGGUCUAGUAUUUUGUCUGUUUCUCAAAAUCGUCCAAGAAGUAAACACUUAUUAAUCUCUGACAAAUGAAUCUCAAGCUAGCAGAGUAGGUUUUGGUUGGAUUGAUUUGCCAUUGCAAAGCUCGAUGACAUCUUCUAAGAAGACCUUCCCGUUCUCUUGGAACAAUCUUAGCCGUUGAUUUGUUUCUGACUUCUUCUUCAUCUUUUUCCUCCAAUAAUCGAUCUUCUGAUCAUUCAUCAACAUACAGAGCUGAGAAGUGGAGGAGCGAGCAUGGAAGGGUUCAAAGAAAGACUUUGACUCAAGACGAAUUUCUUCCAUGAAAAAAGGUGAGGAUAGUUCAAAGGAAAGUGCAUCCUUGAUUUUUUUUUUUUUUUUUUUUGCCUCUGUUUAUUUACUAUUUCGAUAAUUGGAGGUAAGGAAAAAUAUAUAAAUAAAAUAACUUUUUGGAUGUUGAUCUUUCAACAUAUUUUGAGAUCCACUCGUUUAGAUGUAUCUUUGCAUAUACUUAUGCCUUUGUAUACUCUUUGGAAACAUAAGAUUGACUUCUUUUUUUUUUUCAGAAGCACUUUAGGUACUUCCUAUUAAAGACGAUGAAGCAGAAUCUGAGAUCUUGGUCAUACUCGAAAAACAAGGAAAAAGACGUGAAGGAGGAAAGGUGGUUCUUGAAGAACGGAAGCAAGUUCUUAAAAGAACUUAUCGCUGAUUGUAACGGUAAAUCCAUUCCUAUACGCAGUUUUUCUUCUCACCAGAUCCUUAAAGCCACCAAGAACUUCGAUUCCAGUUGUUUUGUCACCAAAGAAGGGUUCUACAUUUGGUACAAAGGUGAAAUCGAAGAUAGAUCUUACAUGAUCAAGAGAUUCUCCGAGUAUAAAGUUACAGAUUACAGAGAAGGAGAGGUAUACAAAGACAUCGUCUUGUCUGCUCGGAUGAGCAACCACAACAAUUUUCUUAAACUAUUAGGAUGUUGUCUUGAGUUCCCUUAUCCGGUUCUGGUAUUUGAAUUCGCAGAACAUGGAGUUUUAAAUCAUCGAGGAGGUAUUACGGUUAAUGGGGAGGAAUCGUUAUUGCCUUUGAGUUUGAGGUUGAAGAUUGGGAAAGAGAUUGCAAAUGCCUUGGCUUAUCUUCACAUGGCAUUCCCUAAGAUCAUCAUAUAUAGAGAUGUUAAGCCAAUGCACGUUUUCUUGGACAAGAACUGGACCACAAAGCUGUCUGAUUUGUCUUUCUCCAUAUCGCUCGACGAGGGAAAAUCACAAAUAGAAGCUGAAGACGUUGUGGGUACAUACGGGUACCUCGAUCCAUUAUACUUUGCAACAAGGCUUGUGACAGAAUAUACCGAUGUGUACAGCUUUGGAGUCUUAUUGAUGGUUCUUCUCACUGGCAGACCGGUUUACUUCACAGUAUCUGAUGGGUAUCGAGUUGGUAUUCUUGGAUAUGUGAAAGGCUUAUAUGAAAAUGAGAAGCUCAAUGAAGUUAUUGAUCCUAUGAUGAUGAAUGACGACAUUACAAGUGCUCAGAUAUUGCAGGUGGAAGCGUGUGUUGUACUUGCGCUGAGAUGCUGCAAGGAGAGGGAUGAAGACAGACCGAAGAUGAUUCAGGUAGCUAAAGAACUAAAGCUGAUUGAGACAUCAUUUCUGGAAUCCUAGCUAGAGAUCCUCUCUGUUCUUGAAGCUGGACCAGCACCAGCACCAUCCAUCCGUGUAAACAUGUUUCGUCGCUAACAAUUGUUUCUUCUGCUGGGACUCACAGAGCUCACAAGGGAGUGCCAAACAUAUUGAAGUUAACCGGGAAUAAACAUAUAUAUGAUGAGCAUCAAGAAGAAGGUUUUGAAGCGUAAGUACAAAAUCACACUACACUAACAGAAGGUCAAAGUUUUAUGUGUGUUCUCUCUGAGUGAUUUUGUUUUCUGUAUGAAUCUGAAUUCCACACUACAGGAAGAUAUAGUUUUCAGAGUUGGCUUUAUACAGUCCAAGAACAGAUAAUGAGCAAUCACAAUAACUUUCUUAAUCUAUUAGGAUGUCUUCUCGAGUUUCCUUUUCCGGUUCUUGUGUUUGAAUUCGCAGAUAAUGGAGUUUUGAAUCAGAGAGGAGCUAUUGUGGCUAACGGAGAAGAAUUUUUUUGUUUGCCAAUGGUUUACGGUUAAAUAUUGGGAAAAAUAUUGCAAAUGAUGUAACUUAUCUUCACAUUGCAUCCCCUAAGACCAUCAUAAAUAGAGAUGUAAAGCCAAUGCACGUUUUGGGAAAGAACUGGACUCAAAAGAUUGUUCUCUCUCCCUCAGAGGAAUCAAGUGUAGAACAUUUGGGUAUCUCGAUCAAUUACAUCAUGCCACGACUUUUGUGACGGAAUAUAAAGAUAAGUGAGAGGAAGAUAGACCAAAGAUGAUCCAAGUAGCUAAAGAACUCGAGCGGAUGAAGACAUCGCAGAGAGAUUCUAGCUACAAAUCCUCUUGUUCUUUGAAAAAACUCCUUCUUUUUGAUUAGAAAACUCUAGACAACAUCCCAAGAGCUUGAGAACGUUCUUGUUGCCGCUCAUCAAAUAGACAACAGAGGAAGGUUUUUUUAACAUCGGGCCAUCGGGGGUCCAGAUAACAUUCUUUUGGUCAUUGUAUCAAUUACAAGAUUGGAGCUAACAUUCUUCACUUUAAAUACUAUGUAUAAAAAUCAGCAAACAAAUUAUAGAAACAUAAUGGUAAUAACUAUGUAGAAUAUACUGAAGUUCCAAAACUAAUUAAUACUAUCAAUCACUAGUUAAAUCACUAGUUUUUUUUGUAGAUAAUAUAAAAUGUUAAAAAUAAAUUAGAUGUUUCACAUGUAAACAAUCCUAACAUGACAUAUUUGUUGGAGAUUUUUUUUUUUAAAAAAAAAGCUAAUACUAUCAAUCACUUGUUAAAUCACUAGGUUUUUUUGGUAGAUAAUAUAAAAUGUUAAAAAUAAAUUAGAUGUUUCACAUAUAACAAUCCUAACAUGACAUAUUUGUUGGAGAUUUUUUUUAAAAAAAAAAUAGCUAAUACUAUCAAUCACUAGUUAAAUCACUAGUUUUUUUUUGUAGAUAAUAUAAAAUGUUAAAAAUAAAUUAGAUGUUUCACAUGUAACAAUCCUAACAUGACAUAUUUGUUGGAGAUUUUUUUAUUAAAAAAUAGCUGUAGUAUGUGUCCAAUUUUAAUCCCAUGAGGAGGGAAACCAGAUUUAAAAUGCACCAUCCACAAAUCAAAAAUUUAAAGAAAAGAAUGAAGAAGAGAAAGUUUAUUCUUGAAUAACUUUCUCUGUUUUAUUAAUAAACAAGUGAAAUGGAAAUAGGUAGGACAAUGAAUAAGAUCACACAAAUAGUAUUAUUACAUAAAAUGAAAGGUAUAGCUUAGUGCAAGUAGUAGCUGAAGAGGGACACAAGGGAAGCCCCAACCAAAGAGCCAAGAGCCGGCAAUGCAGCCGAGGCGGCGGAUGCGGCGGGUCCUGGUGCCGGAGCUCCGGCUUCCUCCAUAGCCAUAACGGCGGUCAUGGAGGCAGCAGCGAAAAGCACACCGCAGGCGAUCUUCUUCAUCUCCAUUGUUGAGACCUGAAAGGGGUUUUUUCUUCUUUUUUUAUUUAGUUUUUUUUUUUGUGUUUUUGAAGUUCUUGC